GAGUUUGAUCGUGGCUCAGAUUGAACGCUGGCGGCAGGCCUAACACAUGCAAGUCGAGCGGUAGAGAGAAGCUUGCUUCUCUUGAGAGCGGCGGACGGGUGAGUAAUGCCUAGGAAUCUGCCUGGUAGUGGGGGAUAACGCUCGGAAACGGACGCUAAUACCGCAUACGUCCUACGGGAGAAAGCAGGGGACCUUCGGGCCUUGCGCUAUCAGAUGAGCCUAGGUCGGAUUAGCUAGUUGGUGAGGUAAUGGCUCACCAAGGCGACGAUCCGUAACUGGUCUGAGAGGAUGAUCAGUCACACUGGAACUGAGACACGGUCCAGACUCCUACGGGAGGCAGCAGUGGGGAAUAUUGGACAAUGGGCGAAAGCCUGAUCCAGCCAUGCCGCGUGUGUGAAGAAGGUCUUCGGAUUGUAAAGCACUUUAAGUUGGGAGGAAGGGCAGUAAAUUAAUACUUUGCUGUUUUGACGUUACCGACAGAAUAAGCACCGGCUAACUCUGUGCCAGCCGCCGG
rnacentral:rRNA from 1 species